GAUGAACGCUGGCGGCGUGCUUAACACAUGCAAGUCGAACGGAAAGGCUCCUGCUUGCAGGGGUACUCGAGUGGCGAACGGGUGAGUAACACGUGGGUGAUCUGCCCUGCACUUCGGGAUAAGCCUGGGAAACUGGGUCUAAUACCGGAUAGGACCACAUUUUGGAUGGUGUGGUAGAAAGUUUUUCGGUGUGGGAUGAGCUCGCGGCCUAUCAGCUUGUUGGUGGGGUAAUGGCCUACCAAGGCGUCGACGGGUAGCCGGCCUGAGAGGGUGUACGGCCACAUUGGGACUGAGAUACGGCCCAGACUCCUACGGGAGGCAGCAGUGGGGAAUAUUGCACAAUGGGCGCAAGCCUGAUGCAGCGACGCCGCGUGGGGGAUGACGGCCUUCGGGUUGUAAACUCCUUUCGCUAGGGACGAAGCGUUUUUGUGACGGUACCUGGAGAAGAAGCACCGGCUAACUACGUG
rnacentral:rRNA from 1 species